CUUAUUUGUUUUUUAUGAUGGAGCCUUCAAAUCGACGAUCGCCACCGUUGAAAAUGAUUCAUACCACUUGAAGUAUUUAGAAAUCAAAUUUCAUGAUUUUUCAAUAUUGUUCUCUUGUCCAUCAAGUGGGCGUAAAAAUAAACGGCUGAAAAUGAAUAUCCUCUAAAAAGCGAUUAUAGGAAUUUUAUAACCAAGAUUGAGAGUAUAGAUCUUAUUCUAAAUAGUUUUAAAAAUUUUCUAACCAAAAUUUAAUGGAUUUGGAUAGCUUUA
rnacentral:lncRNA from 1 species